UGGCUCAGAACGAACGCUGGCGGCGUGCCUAAUACAUGCAAGUCGAGCGAACUUGCGGGAGCUUGCUCCCAAAAGUUAGCGGCGGACGGGUGAGUAACACGUGGGCAACCUGCCUAUAAGACUGGGAUAACUUCGGGAAACCGGAGCUAAUACCGGAUAAUUCUUUUCUACUCAUGUAGAAAAGCUAAAAGACGGCUUACGCUGUCACUUAUAGAUGGGCCCGCGGCGCAUUAGCUAGUUGGUGAGGUAACGGCUCACCAAGGCCAGGAUGAGUAGCCGACCUGAGAGGGUGAUCGGCC
rnacentral:misc_RNA from 1 species